rnacentral:misc_RNA from 1 species
UCCGGUUUGUCACCGGCAGUCUCAUUAGAGUGCUCAACUGAAUGUAGCAACUAAUGACAAGGGUUGCGCUCGUUGCGGGACUUAACCCAACAUCUCACGACACGAGCUGACGACAGCCAUGCAGCACCUGUGUUACGGCUCUCUUUCGAGCACGCCCCGAUCUCUCGAGGCUUCCGUACAUGUCAAGGGUAGGUAAGGUUUUUCGCGUUGCAUCGAAUUAAUCCACAUCAUCCACCGCUUGUGCGGGUCCCCGUCAAUUCCUUUGAGUUUUAAUCUUGCGACCGUACUCCCCAGGCGGUCAACUUCACGCGUGAGCUGCGUUACCAAGUCAAUUAAGACCCGACAACUAGUUGACAUCGUUUAGGGCGUGGACUAC